rnacentral:rRNA from 1 species
CAUAGGUUAAUGAGGCGAACCGGGGGAACUGAAACAUCUAAGUACCCCGAGGAAAAGAAAUCAACCGAGAUUCCCCCAGUAGCGGCGAGCGAACGGGGAGCAGCCCAGAGCCUGAAUCAGUGUGUGUGUUAGUGGAAGCGUCUGGAAAGGCGCGCGAUACAGGGUGACAGCCCCGUACACAAAAAUGCACAUGCUGUGAGCUCGAUGAGUAGGGCGGGACACGUGGUAUCCUGUCUGAAUAUGGGGGGACCAUCCUCCAAGGCUAAAUACUCCUGACUGACCGAUAGUGAACCAGUACCGUGAGGGAAAGGCGAAAAGAACCCCGGCGAGGGGAGUGAAAAAGAACCUGAAACCGUGUACGUACAAGCAGUGGGAGCACAGAGCAAUCUGUGUGACUGCGUACCUUUUGUAUAAUGGGUCAGCGACUUAUAUUCUGUAGCAAGGUUAACCGAAUAGGGGAGCCGAAGGGAAACCGAGUCUUAACUGGGCGUUAAGUUGCAGGGUAUAGACCCGAAACCCGGUGAUCUAGCCAUGGGCAGGUUGAAGGUUGGGUAACACUAACUGGAGGACCGAACCGACUAAUGUUGAAAAAUUAGCGGAUGACUUGUGGCUGGGGGUGAAAGGCCAAUCAAACCGGGAGAUAGCUGGUUCUCCCCGAAAGCUAUUUAGGUAGCGCCUCGUGAAUUCAUCUCCGGGGGUAGAGCACUGUUUCGGCAAGGGGGUCAUCCCGACUUACCAACCCGAUGCAAACUGCGAAUACCGGAGAAUGUUAUCACGGGAGACACACGGCGGGUGCUAACGUCCGUCGUGAAGAGGGAAACAACCCAGACCGCCAGCUAAGGUCCCAAAGUCAUGGUUAAGUGGGAAACGAUGUGGGAAGGCCCAGACAGCCAGGAUGUUGGCUUAGAAGCAGCCAUCAUUUAAAGAAAGCGUAAUAGCUCACUGGUCGAGUCGGCCUGCGCGGAAGAUGUAACGGGGCUAAACCAUGCACCGAAGCUGCGGCAGCGACGCUGAUGCGUUGUUGGGUAGGGGAGCGUUCUGUAAGCCUGUGAAGGUGUGCUGUGAGGCAUGCUGGAGGUAUCAGAAGUGCGAAUGCUGACAUAAGUAACGAUAAAGCGGGUGAAAAGCCCGCUCGCCGGAAGACCAAGGGUUCCUGUCCAACGUUAAUCGGGGCAGGGUGAGUCGACCCCUAAGGCGAGGCCGAAAGGCGUAGUCGAUGGGAAACAGGUUAAUAUUCCUGUACUUGGUGUUACUGCGAAGGGGGGACGGAGAAGGCUAUGUUGGCCGGGCGA